rnacentral:rRNA from 1 species
GACGAAGGUCCCGAGCGUUGUUCGGAAUUACUGGGCGUAAAGGGAGCGUAGGCGGCGCGGAAAGUCAGAUGUGAAAUCCCCGGGCUCACCCCGGGAACUGCAUCCGAUACUUCCGUGCUUGAGGACUGGAGGGGAGUGUGGAAUUCACGGUGUAGCAGUGAAAUGCGUGGAUAUCGUGAGGAACACUAGUGGCGAAGGCGACACUCUGGACAGAUCCUGACGCUGAGGCUCGAAGGCCAGGGGAGCGAAGGGG